AACGAACGCUGGCGGCAUGCCUAACACAUGCAAGUCGAACGAUGCCUUCGGGCAUAGUGGCGCACGGGUGCGUAACGCGUGGGAAUCUGCCCUUGGCUUCGGAAUAACAGUUAGAAAUGACUGCUAAUACCGGAUGAUGUCCCCCUGAGAGAUCUUGGGGACCAAAGAUUUAUCGGCCAGGGAUGAGCCCGCGUAGGAUUAGGUAGUUGGUGGGGUAAAGGCCUACCAAGCCGACGAUCCUUAGCUGGUCUGAGAGGAUGAUCAGCCACACUGGGACUGAGACACGGCCCAGACUCCUACGGGAAGCAGCAGUGGGGAAUAUUGGACAGUGGGGGGAACCCUGAUCCAGCAAUGCCGCGUGAGUGAUGAAGGCCUUAGGGUUGUAAAGCUCUUUUACCAGGGAUGAUAAUGACAGUACCUGGAGAAUAAGCUCCGGCUAACUCCGUG
rnacentral:rRNA from 1 species